UACGUAGGAGGCGAGCGUUAUCCGGAUUUACUGGGCGUAAAGAGCGCGUAGGUGGCUUUUCAAGUCGGAUGUAAAAUCUCCUGGCUUAACCGGGAGGGACCAUUCGAUACUGUUGGGCUAGAGGGCAGCAGAGGGAGAUGGAAUUCCCGGUGUAGUGGUGAAAUGCGUAGAUAUCGGGAGGAACACCAGUGGCGAAGGCGAUCUCCUGGGCUGUACCUGACACUGAGGCGCGAAAGCGUGGGGAGCGAACAGGAUUAGAUACCCCUGUA
rnacentral:rRNA from 1 species